rnacentral:lncRNA from 1 species
GGUUUUGGUAAAAAUAUAGGCCCGAAAAAUAGACUUGGGCAAAAAAAUAAGGCCCGUUUAGAAAAUGGAUCGGGCCUUGAGUAAGGCUUUUUUGGCCCAAGCCUGGCUCGGCUCGAAUAUGAAUUUUUUUUUACUUUUUUAUUAUUUUCUUUUUUUUUUCACUAUUUUGCUACUAUUUUACAAUUAUGUUGCUACUAUUUUGUUGUUAUCAUUUGGAUAUUAU